rnacentral:miRNA from 5 species
CACAUUCAUCGCUGUCGGUGGG